UAGAGUUUGAUCUGGCUCAGGACGAACGCUGGCGGCGUGCUUAACACAUGCAAGUCGUGCGGUUCAGUCGUCAGUCGUCGGACGUCAGACUUCAGGAAAAAAUAAAACCCAAGAAUAAUUCCUGACGACCGAUGUCCGACGACUGACGACUGAAUAGCGGCGGACGGGUGAGUAACACGUGGAUAACCUGCCCGUUAGACCGGGAUAACACCGGGAAACUGGUGCUAAUACCGGAUAAGCUCUUUAGAGCAAAAGCUUACAAAGAGGAAAGGGGGAACCCGCUAAAGGAUGGGUCCGCGUCCUAUUAGCUAGUUGGUAGGGUAACGGCCUACCAAGGCGACGAUGGGUAGCCGGCCUGAGAGGGUGACCGGCCACACUGGGACUGAGACACGGCCCAGACUCCUACGGGAGGCAGCAGUGGGGAAUAUUCCGCAAUGGGGGAAACCCUGACGGAGCAAUGCCGCGUGAGUGAAGAAGGCCUUUGGGUCGUAAAACUCUGUCUUGAGGGACGAAAAAAAUGACGGUACCUCAAAAGAAAGCCCCGGCUAACUACGUGCCAGCAGCCGCGGUAAAACGUAGGGGGCGAGCGUUGUCCGGAAUUACUGGGCGUAAAGGGCGUGCAGGCGGCCUGUGUAGUCAAGCGGUGAAAACCCGGGGCUUAACUUCGGGAUGGCCCUUGAAACCAACAGGCUUGAGGACAGGAGAGGGGAGUGGAAUUUCCGGUGUAGCGGUGAAAUGCGUAGAUACCGGAAGGAACACCAGUGGCGAAGGCGGCUCCCUGGACUGGUCCUGACGCUGAGGCGCGAAAGCGUGGGGGAGCAAACAGGAUUAGAUACCCUGGUAGUCCACGCCGUAAACGAUGGGUGCUAGGUGUUGGGGGUAUCGACCCCUCCAGUGCCGCAGUUAACACAAUAAGCACCCCGCCUGGGGAGUACGACCGCAAGGUUGAAACUCAAAGGAAUUGACGGGGGCCCGCACAAGCGGUGGAGCAUGUGGUUUAAUUCGACGCAACGCGAAGAACCUUACCAGGGCUUGACAUCUUCUGACCGCUUAAGGAAACUUAAGCCUUCCGGGAAGUUUACUUUCCGGACAGAAAGACAGGUGGUGCAUGGUUGUCGUCAGCUCGUGUCGUGAGAUGUUGGGUUAAGUCCCGCAACGAGCGCAACCCCUACGGUUAGUUGCUAACGGGUAAGGCCGAGCACUUUAGCUGAACUGCCGUCGACAAAACGGAGGAAGGCGGGGAUGACGUCAAAUCAUCAUGCCCUUUAUGUCCUGGGCUACACACGUGCUACAAUGGCCUGUACAAAGGGCGGCAAAGGGGCGACCCGGAGCAAAUCCCAAAAAACAGGUCUCAGUUCGGAUUGCAGGCUGCAAUUCGCCUGCAUGAAGGCGGAAUCGCUAGUAAUCGCAGGUCAGCAUACUGCGGUGAAUACGUUCCCGGGCCUUGUACACACCGCCCGUCACACCACGAAAGUCAGCAACACCCAAAGCCGGUGACUUAACCGCCCUAAAGUGGAAAGAGCCGUCUAAGGUGGGGUUGGUAAUUGGGGUGAAGUCGUAACAAGGUAGCCGUAUUGGAAGGUGCGGCUGGAUCACCUCCUU
rnacentral:rRNA from 1 species